rnacentral:rRNA from 1 species
GACGAACGCUGGCGGCGUGCUUAACAUAUGCAAGUCGAACGGUGAAGGGGUCUGCUUUUGUGGGCCCUGGAUGAGUGGCGAACGGGUGAGUAACACGUGAGUAACCUGCCCCCUUCUUCUGGAUAACCGCAUGAAAGUGUGGCUAAUACGGGAUAUUCUGGGUCUGUCGCAUGAUGGGUCUGGGAAAGAUUGCGCCUUUGGGUGUUUUUGGUGGGGGAUGGGCUCGCGGCCUAUCAGCUUGUUGGUGGGGUGAUGGCCUACCAAGGCGGUGACGGGUAGCCGGCCUGGGAGGGGGGACGGUCACACUGGGACUGAGACACGGCCCAGACUCCUACGGGAGGCAGCAGUGGGGAAUAUGGCACAAUGGGCGCAAGCCUGAUGCAGCGACGCCGCGUGAGGGAUGGAGGCCUUCGGGUUGUAAACCUCUUUCGCCAGUGAAGCAGGCCUGCUCCUUGUGGGUGGGUUGACGGUAGCGGGAUAAGAAGCGCCGGCUAACUACGU